GUGGCUGCUGGGCGGGCGGGGCGCAGGCCGCGGGACCCGAGCCCGGGGGAGCGAGAGAGCGGAAGCGCCGAGGAUCCGAUUCACUCGCUGGGGAGACCUAUGGGCCGAAGCCGUGUAAAUGCGUUUUAAGGCGAGUGCGGAAAGUGGCCUGGGGAGCCUCGGGGAGCGGACGCCCUCCGCCCUGGUGCUGACCUGCCCCCCUGCCUCUUCUGCCUCCCGUCAGCAGGGGCCUCGGCUCCGCAACUGCCACUCCUCCUCGGGGUGUUGCACAAGUUUCGAGGUCACCGGCGACCCCCCCUAGCAGCGCGCCUGGCUCUGGCCCCCGCGAAGGAGGACGGAGCUUGUGUGUUGCAUACUUUCUAAGGCGGCGGCUGCAGCAGCGGCUCCAUCCAGCCCGUCAGCUCCUCCUGCAAGGCAUGGCUGGCUACCUGAGUGAAUCGGACUUUGUGAUGGUGGAGGAGGGCUUCAGUACCCGAGACCUGCUGAAGGAACUCACUCUGGGGGCCUCACAGGCCACCACGUCAUUCCUUGCUUCUCAUCAGUGUUGCCUUUUCCUGAUCGCCCCAGGCAGAUUUUGUAUUUUCUUUCUCCAUGCCCCCACAUUGCACCUUGUAGAAACUGCCAUCUAACAUCUGCUGAAUGGACUUGACCAGGUAGCUGCCUUCUUCGUGGCUGACCUGGGUGCCAUAGUGAGGAAGCACUUUUGCUUUCUGAAGUGCCUGCCACGAGUCCGGCCCUUUUACGCUGUCAAGUGCAACAGCAGCCCAGGUGUGCUGAAGGUUCUGGCCCAGCUGGGGCUGGGCUUUAGCUGUGCCAACAAGGCAGAGAUGGAGUUGGUCCAGCAUAUUGGAGUCCCUGCCAGUAAGAUCAUCUGCGCCAACCCCUGUAAGCAAAUUGCACAGAUCAAAUAUGCUGCCAAGCAUGGGAUCCGGCUGCUGAGCUUUGACAAUGAGAUGGAGCUGGCAAAGGUGGUAAAGAGCCACCCCAGUGCCAAGAUGGUUCUGUGCAUUGCUACCGAUGACUCCCACUCCCUGAGCCGCCUGAGCCUAAAGUUUGGAGUGUCACUGAAAUCCUGCAGACACCUGCUUGAAAAUGCGAAGAAGAGCCACGUGGAGGUGGUGGGUGUGAG
rnacentral:sRNA from 1 species